GGAGAAUAGAAAAUUACCUACUUCCUAGUAUUUGACAUAUUAUAUAGAAUUAAAAAACUCAAGAAGCAAGUAAACAAAAAACAUAAAGAUUAAAAUUAGAGAAUGAAUUAUUAUAAUACUAUAAUAGGCAACCCUUCAUUUUAAGUGGAAAAAUUGUACAUAAAUUUAACAAAAAAAUUAGCAGGAAAACAAUCCAGCAUAUAGC
rnacentral:misc_RNA from 1 species